AUACGUAGGGUGCGAGCGUUGUCCGGAAUUACUGGGCGUAAAGAGCUCGUAGGUGGUUUGUCGCGUCGUCUGUGGAAUUCCGGGGCUUAACUCCGGGCGUGCAGGCGAUACGGGCAUAACUUGAGUACUGUAGGGGAGACUGGAAUUCCUGGUGUAGCGGUGAAAUGCGCAGAUAUCAGGAGGAACACCGGUGGCGAAGGCGGGUCUCUGGGCAGUAACUGACGCUGAGGAGCGAAAGCAUGGGUAGCGAACAGGAUUAGAUACCCUGGUAGUCCAUGCCGUAAACGGUGGGCGCUAGGUGUAGGGGUCUUCCACGACUUCUGUGCCGUAGCUAACGCAUUAAGCGCCCCGCCUGGGGAGUACGGCCGCAAGGCUAAAACUCAAAGGAAUUGACGGGG
rnacentral:rRNA from 1 species